ensembl:lncRNA
CAAGAAUUGAUGAUGUAAUUGCAUUGCUCUGUCCCCUGGCCCAGCGUUUGGCCUUUGGCGCUGCCCCCUGGCAUGAGGGGUAUUUCCCAUUCCACCUCCCGGGAGGACGAACAUCCUCACGGGGUGUCCGAGAGGCCAGAGCUCCUGGCCUGGGACAGUGAGGCACAGGUCGGGCGAGCCUGCAGGCCUUCCCACGUCCUGUGCCUCUCUGGUCACCCUGCCAUCGGAGGGUAAUGGGUCUCAGUCCUGAGGAGCUUAGGCCAGUCCUUCCCGCUGUGGGUUGAGUCCAGGACUGGAGGAGAGGAAAUAAAAUUCCAUUCUUACAAUCAGGUCGAUACUUGUCGGGGUGUGGCUGUGGCUGAGGGCAGAAUCAGUAUCCCAUCAGCCUGGGUCUACAACGUGAACUUCUUUUAUCUUCAGAGGAGCACAAAACUGGUCACCUGAAAUAACACAGUCAGACGCGAUUUCUAGUGGUCUGCUUGUCUCAUCGUGCGAGGCCAUGGUUCGCCCUGUCCUACUUUCCAGCUGUACGUGUUGUGAAGUCGAGUGGCAGUGAACCGAGCAAGUUGCCGCUGAGUUGGAUCCCUGAAGUGCCCCGGAGGUGGCUGAACUGAGCCGGCAGAGCCGCGGCCGUACCGUGCCAUCUCUGUGUGAUGAACGUUGAGCUGAGGGCCUCAGGGAAGAUGCCUCCGCUUGGACCCGGCCUUGCCACCAUUGUCCUGGUCCCUGGGAUCCCAGGACCCCUGCCCAACAAGGCUGGAGGGUUGGAGGAGAGACCCCUUGUCUCUGUGCACCCUGAUGCUUGUCCCCUACUUGUGAUCUUCACACAUGGACACUGGCCUGAGAGUCAACACCGGCCCACAGAUCGAUUCUCAUCUGAGGUGCAGCCACCCCGAGCCGUGGAGCCCCCCGCGGUAAGCCCCUUACCGCACUUCCUGGCCUUGGGCCUGUGGAAGAGCAGACGAGCCCCAGGGCGUCUGGGUCUCCAGUGACUCAGAGGGAAGGAAGCCCCAAGCCUGGCCCUCUGACCCGCUCCCCAGUACCGAGGGGGACGGGCUGGGCUGGGCGUUUG